rnacentral:tRNA from 1 species
GGCUUCGUAGCUCAGCUGGUAGAACGCAUGCCACGUUGAGGCACGGUGUUUUUGUCGCUGGUUCGAAUCCAGCCGGAGUCC